rnacentral:rRNA from 1 species
CGAAGUACACACAUAUACACUGAUAAACGAAUACUACUUGAACUCCUGUCAGCAAUUCCAUAAGUACCACCUCCCUUUCCAACUACAACCAGAACCAGGAUAAACAUUCAAAGAGUGUGAUAAAAAUAAUUGCGUACUAAGGAAUGCUUUACCAUUGUGAUAGAGAUAAUAUUUGACUUGUGAUUACUCUUAACAUGAAUUAUGAAGACACUCCUGGUGAAAAGAGUCGUCAAAGGAAUAUUACAAAAGGAAGUAAAGGUUACCUGACCACUCUACGUUGGACGAACCUUAAGUUCCUUCUUCCCGUAAAGCUUGCUUCUUUAGUCUACCACGAGGCGUCCUGUGCGUGUCGGCGGCGGUGUGGUGUGGCGUCUCUGUCUGCUCCUACACUACGACGAGGAAGAAACCACAUACGCAGCCGCACCGAACACCAUCACUCCGUAUAGGAGCACCCAUUACGAUAAACUUCUGGUAAGUUCACUAAAUUUUCUCUUCUACAGGUCUUACAUUGCUCCAACUUCUACUGCUAGUUUUCUAACUGCAUAAUUCGCUGACAGUUCUACGGUUAUUACGAACGGGGGACGGUAAUAAUUAGCACUCUAGGGAUAAAUGUACCUACUGAGUCGCCCACCGGAAACGCACCGUCCGUAUACAAGGGUCGGUGGAACAGUUAACAUCCGAAUCUUACUAAACGAAGCAGGGUUCACAACAAGCAGCUGCUAAUGAAACAUACAGGUACCACUAAGACUUAAAUCUCCUGUGCAUACAAAACCAUCCUUCACAUAACAAGAAUACAAAAAAGGACCACAUAUGACUGAGCACGUCUAAUACUUUAGGG